rnacentral:rRNA from 1 species
UGGGGAAUAUUGGACAAUGGGCGCAAGCCUGAUCCAGCCAUGCCGCGUGAGUGAUGAAGGCCCUAGGGUUGUAAAGCUCUUUCACCGGUGAAGAUAAUGACGGUAACCGGAGAAGAAGCCCCGGCUAACUUCGUGCCAGCAGCCGCGGUAAUACGAAGGGGGCUAGCGUUGUUCGGAUUUACUGGGCGUAAAGCGCACGUAGGCGGACUUUUAAGUCAGGGGUGAAAUCCCGGGGCUCAACCCCGGAACUGCCUUUGAUACUGGAAGUCUUGAGUAUGGUAGAGGUGAGUGGAAUUCCGAGUGUAGAGGUGAAAUUCGUAGAUAUUCGGAGGAACACCAGUGGCGAAGGCGGAUCACUGGACCAUUACUGACGCUGAGGUGCGAAAGCGUGGGGAGCAAACAGG